rnacentral:rRNA from 1 species
AUUGAACGCUGGCGGCAGGCCUAACACAUGCAAGUCGAGUGAGCGGCGGACGGGUGAGUAAUGUCUGGGAAACUGCCUGAUGGAGGGGGAUAACUACUGGAAACGGUAGCUAAUACCGCAUACCAUCAGAUGUGCCCAGAUGGGAUUAGCUAGUCGGUGGGGUAAUGGCUCACCUAGGCGACGAUCCCUAGCUGGUCUGAGAGGAUGACCAGCCAGACUGGAACUGAGCCACGGUCCCGACGCCUACGUGCGGCAGCAGUGGGGGAUAUUGCACAAUGGGCGCAAGCCUGAUGCAGCCAUGCCGCGUGUGUGAAGAAGGCCUUCGGGUUGUAAAGCAAUUUCAGCGGGGGGGCGUUACCCGCAGAAGAAGCACCGGCUAACUCCGUGCCAGCAGCCGCGGUAAUAC